rnacentral:rRNA from 1 species
GUGAAAUUGUUGAAAGGGAAGCGCUUGCAACCAGACCUGCCUGCGGUUGCUCAUCCGGGCAAAAGCCCGGUGCACUCUUCCGCUGUCAGGCCAGCAUCAGUUUGGGCGGUCGGAUAAAGGCUUCGGGAAUGUAGCUCCUCUCGGGGAGUGUUAUAGCCCGUUGCGAAAUGCGGCCAGCUUGGACUGAGGUCCGCGCUUCGGCUAGGAUGCUGGCGUAAUGGUUGUAAGCGGCCCGUCUUGAAACACGGACCAAGGAGUCUAACAUCUGUGCGAGUGUUUGGGUGUCAAACCCGUACGCGUAAUGAAAGUGAACGGAGGCGGGAACCUCUCGGGGUGCACCGUCGACCGAUCCUGAUGUCUUCGGAUGGAUUUGAGUAAGAGCAUAGCUGUUGGGACCCGAAAGAUGGUGAACUAUGCCUGAAUAGGGUGAAGCCAGAGGAAACUCUGGUGGAGGCUCGCAGCGGUUCUGACGUGCAAAUCGAUCGUCAAAUUUGGGCAUAGGGGCGAAAGACUAAUCGAACUAUCUAGUAGCUGGUUCCUGCCGAAGUUUCCCUCAGGAUAGCAGUAACGUUUUCAGUUUUAUGAGGUAAAGCGAAUGAAUAGAGGCCUGGGGGUUGA